rnacentral:rRNA from 1 species
CCUACGGGAGGCAGCAGUGGGGGAUAUUGCACAAUGGGGGAAACCCUGAUGCAGCGACGCCGCGUGGGUGAAGAAGCGCCUCGGCGCGUAAAGCCCUGUCAGCAGGGAAGAAAAUGACGGUACCUGAAGAAGAAGCCCCGGCUAACUACGUGCCAGCAGCCGCGGUAAUACGUAGGGGGCACGCGUUAACCGGAUUUACUGGGUGUAAAGGGGGCGCAGACGGGGAUGCAAGCCAGGAGGGAAAGCCCGGGGCCCAACCCCGGGACUGCUCUUGGAACUGCGUGGCUAGAGUGCAGGAGGGGCAGGCGGAAUUCCUGGUGUAGCGGUGAAAUGCGUAGAUAUCAGGAGGAACACCGGUGGCGAAGGCGGCCUGCUGGACUGCAACUGACGUUGAGGCCCGAAAGCGUGGGGAGCAAACAGGAUUAGAUACCCCUGUAGUC